ensembl:lncRNA
GUUACUGUUCCCACUAUGGUUGUUCCCACUGUUCCCACCAGGUUACUGUUCCCACUAUGUUACUGUUCCCACUAUGUUACUGUUCCCACUAUGUUACUGUUCCCACUAUGUUACUGUUCCCACUAUGUUACUGUUCCCACUAGGUACUGUUCCCACCAGGUUACUGUUCCCACUAUGGUACUGUUCCCACCAGGUUACUGUUCCCACCAGGUUACUGUUCCCACCAGGUUACUGUUCCCACUAUGUUACUGUUCCCACCAGGUUACUGUUCCCACCAUGUUACUGUUCCCACUAUGUUACUGUUCCCACUAUGUUACUGUUCCCACCAGGUUACUGUUCCCACUAUGGUACUGUUCCCACCAGGUUACUGUUCCCACUAUGUUACUGUUCCCACUAUGUUACUGUUCCCACCAGGUUACUGUUCCCACUAUGUUACUGUUCCCACUAUGUUACUGUUCCCACCAGGUUACUGUUCCCACUAGAUUACUGUUCCCACUAUGUUACUGUUCCCACUAUGUUACUGUUCCCACCAGGUUACUGUUCCCACUAUGUUACUGUUCCCACCAGGUUACUGUUCCCACCAGGUUACUGUUCCCACUAUGGUACUGUUCCCACUAGGUUACUGUUCCCACUAUGUUACUGUUCCCACUAUGUUACUGUUCCCACCAGGUUACUGUU